UAGGGAAUCUUCCACAAUGGACGAAAGUCUGAUGGAGCAACGCCGCGUGAGUGAUGAAGGGUUUCGGCUCGUAAAACUCUGUUGUUGGAGAAGAACGGGUGUCAGAGUAACUGUUGACAUCGUGACGGUAUCCAACCAGAAAGCCACGGCUAACUACGUGCCAGCAGCCGCGGUAAUACGUAGGUGGCAAGCGUUGUCCGGAUUUAUUGGGCGUAAAGCGAGCGCAGGCGGUUUUUUAGGUCUGAUGUGAAAGCCUUCGGCUUAACCGGA
rnacentral:rRNA from 1 species